rnacentral:rRNA from 1 species
AACGAACGCUGGCGGCAGGCUUAACACAUGCAAGUCGAACGCAUCCUUCGGGGUGAGUGGCAGACGGGUGAGUAACGCGUGGGAACAUGCCCUCCAGUUCGGAAUAACCCAGGGAAACUUGGGCUAAUGCCGGAUACGUGCGAGAGCAGAAAGAUUUAUCGCUGAAGGAGUGGCCCGCGUCUGAUUAGCUAGUUGGUGAGGUAAAGGCUCACCAAGGCGACGAUCAGUAGCUGGUCUGAGAGGAUGAUCAGCCACACUGGGACUGAGACACGGCCCAGACUCCUACGGGAGGCAGCAGUGGGGAAUAUUGGACAAUGGGCGCAAGCCUGAUCCAGCUAUGCCGCGUGAGUGAUGAAGGCCUUAGGGUUGUAAAGCUCUUUCGGCGGGGACGAUAAUGACGGUACCCGCAGAAGAAGCCCCGGCUAACUUCGUGCCAGCAGCCGCCGUAA